rnacentral:rRNA from 1 species
GUGACAGCCGCCGCGGUAAUACGUAGGGGGCAAGCGUUGUCCGGAAUCAUUGGGCGUAAAGCGCGCGUAGGCGGCCCGGUAAGUCCGUUGUGAAAGUCAAAGGCUCAACCUUUGAACGCCGAUGGAUACUGCCGGGCUAGAGUCCGGAAGAGGCGAGUGGAAUUCCUGGUGUAGCGGUGGAAUGCGCAGAUAUCAGGAGGAACACCAAUAGCGAAGGCAGCUCGCUGGGACGGUACUGACGCUGAGGCGCGAAAGCGUGGGGAGCGAACAGGAUUAGAAACCCGAGUAGUCC